rnacentral:lncRNA from 1 species
AUGUCAUUUGUCCGAGUGAACCGUUAUGGUCCCCGUGGAGGAGGAAGGAAAACACUGAAAGUAAAGAAGAAAACAUCUGUGAAGCAAGAAUGGGAUAUCCGUCGUCAUGAAAUACACAAAUCAAAGAACAGAGCAUUGGUCCACUGGGAGCUCCAAGAAAAAGCUUUGAAGAGGAAAUGGAAGAAGCAGAAACCAGAAAUUUCUAAUCUUGAGAAAAGGAGAUUGUCUAUCAUGAAGGAGAUUCUUUCUGAUCAAUACCAGCUGCAGGAUGUAUUGGAAAAAUCUGAUCAUUUGAUGGCUACAACAAAAGAUCUAUUUGUUGAUUUUCCUCGCAGGCGCACAGGAUUUCCGAAUGUAACAAUGGCUCCGGAGUCCUCUCAAAGUCCCACUGUGGUCAGUCAGGACCCUGUCACCCAGGCCAUCCGUAGCGAAUCUGUUAUAGAGCCUCAGGCUCUUAAUGAAGUAGAUGAUGAUGAACAAGAAGGAACUGUUAACAGCCAGUCAGAAGAAAGUGAGAAUGAGUUGGAUAACUCUCUCAGCUCUCAGUCAAAUGCAAAUGCAGGAACGUUUCUCCACCAAAUAAAGGAAGAAAAUUCUGAGUUAAUUAAUAAACUAUGGACUGAUAUUCAGCAGAAAGUAGCAACACAGUCACAAAUAACAGCCUCUUCAGGAACUCCAUCAUCUGCUUCUCCAUUAGGAGAACAAAAAGCUGCGUUGAAUGCUACCAGUGCUGUUAAGAGAAUCCAUACGAGGCUUCAACCUGAAGAAGCUACUGAGACUCUAGACUCAAGCUAUGUUGUGGGACAGGUGCUAAACUCAAGGAAGCAAAAACAGCUGCUAAAUAAAGUGAAAAGAAAACCAGAUUCACGUGCUCCUUCCAAACAGAAGAGUAGCGUGUUAUCAGCCAGCACAGCCUCCACAGACUUACCAAGUAGCAGUAACCCCAGCCUGGAUGUCCUCAAACACAUGAUACAUGAAGUGGAACAUGAAAUAGAAGAAUACGAACGGUGGACAGGCCGCGAGGUCCAGGGACUCCAAAACAGUCAGGGUCUCACCGGCUUCACCCUGUCCCUCGUGAGCUCACUCUGUCGCCUAGUUCGGUACCUUAAAGAGAGUGAGCUCCAACUGCGUAAAGAAGUAGAGACAAGGCAGCGACUGGAACAAGCAUUAGGUGAUCAUCGAGAGCUCAUUGAUGCGCUGACAGCUGAAGUUCUUUUCCUUAGAGAAGAAAAUACUGCUACCCAGGCGAGACUUCAGCAGUACAUGAUCACAACAGAUGAGCAGCUUAUAUCACUCACACAUGCCAUUAAAAACUGUCCUGUGAUAAGUAACAAAGAAAGUCAGGCCUUAGAAAGCGGAGCCACAAGUCAGAGAAAUAUGGAUAAUCCAGAGGACCCAGCCGUAAAUGCUCGUGUAUCCGUGCCAUUGAUGUUCAGAGGAGAAGACGUGGUUGAGUUCCCACAGGAAGAUUUGCCUGUCAAACUGUCUCAGGUGCCAAACCCUCCAGAAAGUGGGAACCUGGCCAGCAAUCUUCCAGGACAUAUAUUUGAGCCAGCAGUGUUGUUAACACCACCCAGGCAGAAGAGCAACUCAGAAUUCUCUCCUUUGCAGGACGUAUUGAGGAGGACUGUUCAAACUCGUCCUGCUCCACGAAUUCCUCCGACUGUGGAGAUAAUUGAAAAGGAACAAAAUUGGGAAAAGAAGACCUUACCUGUUGGCGCAGACGUUCAGAACUCAAAUGAUGAGAGUCACCUCUUCACUCAGAGGUGGAGGGCCUCUCACAUGGGAGAAGACUCGCAGAGCAGAACCCAGGCUCCUUUCGUUAGCCUCUCACAGCCUCUCUGCAGUUCCUCAAGCAUGCAGCAGCAAUCGAGAAACCCCACACUCCCAGAAGAACCCCUGGUGCUGGGAGACGGGCAGCAGCUUAGAACAAAUGAGACGUUAAUACAGAGAAAGGACAUCAUGGCACGAAUUGCAGAGUUGACCCUGCAGAAUUCAGCUAUCAGGGCACAUCUGAAUAAUAUUAUUGGUCCAGGGGGAGAACAAGGGGACGGACUUCGGGAGUUUAACAGACAGGAGACAAGUCAUGGCAGCGACACGAUGGCUACUUUUCCAGCAGUGCAACCUCUGACACCAAGUAGCAUGGAGGAACGGAUUGCAGAAUUGAAUCGACAGAGUAUGGAGGCUCGUGGAAAACUCUUGCAGUUAAUAGAGCAGCAGAAGCUGAUUGGCUUGAAUCCUUCCUCUCCACCAGUAUCACCUGUGCAGUCACCUGUCAGAGCAUGGGCUGAGGGCGGAAAGAGGACAAUUGAGGUGUCUAUUCCAGGAGCAGAAGCCCCAGAAAGCUCAAAAUGUAGUACUGUCUCUCCUACUAGUGGGCUAAAUUCGAGAAGAUCUUCAGGGGCUGCUAGUAAUUCUUGUUCUCCUUUAAAUGCCACCUCGGGAAGUGGGCGAUUGACACCUCUUAAUCCAAGAGCAAAGAUUGAGAAACAAAAUGAAGAAGGCUGGUUUGCUCUUUCUACCCACGUGUCAUAA